GAGUGUUUUAAAAUAUAUUUUAUUGAUUUUUAAAAUUGCUCAAACCUUGCCCCCUUGGGUCUGGUUCUGCAAGUGUAAGAAGGGACAGAGUAAGGUUUUAGUAGCAGGAGUGAAGAGACAGGCAGGGCAGGAGCGGGCUAAGGAGAGGCAGGCAAGGGAGAGGCAGGCAGGGCAGGAGCAGGCUAAGGAGAGGCAGGCCAGGGAGAGGCAGGCAGGGCAGGA